rnacentral:lncRNA from 1 species
CUGUUUGCUACCAGCUAGCUAAUGUUUGGUCUCCUUAUCUUAGGAGAGGGUAAUGGCUGGUGCCAGCAUGGAGGCCGCCUGAUCUCAAUCUGACUCUAAAGUUAUUAACAGAGCUACCAGGAGGCAGGCCUCCGUGUGGGCCCGCAGCCAGAGCUUCAGGAAGAGGGCCUAAGGAAGAAGAACAGACUUGGCCUCCGGUUACUAGGUAACCUAAGAGGAACAUCUUUUAAUAGAGCCCCAAAUCUGCAUCAUCAGGGCCUCCUGCUCUCACUGUGUUCCAGGAAGUACUCCCUUCCAGUGUUUUUCUACAGUUGGAGGAAUCCAAGUUUCUUGUAAGGUGGAGGAAGCUCUUCAAAGAAGAAAGGAGUUGGGAAUCCUUAUUCCCCCAGCAAUGAGCAACUGUAGAAACACUCCUCUCACAGACCUGGCAAAUGGCUUCUAGUGUUUUUGGUCCAAACACUACAUCUCCCCAGCUCUGUGUCACAUCUUGGCGCUGCAUAGCCCAGUAGUACCACAUCAUCUCGUGGCACUGAGCCAAGAGCGUGCCCGGCGGCGCUUAGCACCAUACAGGAAGUCUGUGGGGCCCUGCAAGCUCCCUCUACCACACUCCUACUGGAGCAGAGGAGGAGAUUAUCAGGCGGCAAAGUCAUGGUGUUGCUAUGAUUACUCUGAUGUGUAAUAAAUCUGUG